rnacentral:rRNA from 1 species
AAAGAUUAAGCCAUGCAUGUCUAAGUAUAAAUGCGUUUAUAGUGAAACUGCACAAGACUCAUUACACCAGUUAUUGUUUAUUUGAUGGUCUCUUUACCAAGGAUACCUCUGGUAAUUCUAGAGCUAAUACUUGCGCAAGGUGCCGACUCACGAAGGCGCGUAUUUAUUAGAUACCGACCGACCCCGCAAGGGUGAUGGUGAUUCAUAAUAACUGCUCGAAUCGCAUGGUCUUGCACCGGCGAUGCAUCAUUCAAAUAUCUGCCCUAUCAACUUUCGAUGGGAGGGUAGUGGCCUCCCAUGGGGA